CAUGUUUGAGAUAAAAAAACACCCGAUUGAGAUGUUUGAGAUAAAAAACAUCGGAUUAAAAAAAAUCCGAUUGAGAUGUUUGAGAUAAAAAACAUCCAAUUUCAAAAAAAAAAAUCCAAUUUCAAACUUUAUGGGGUUAUUUUUAUUGAUGGAGGAUUUUCCUUACAUUUGUGGAGCCUAUAAAAAGGCCACAGGGUCAUUGACUCAAAUCAUAAGCAAAUUAUUAGUAGUCAUAUAAAUUUACCAACAAAUUGAUUUGUACUAUUUUGGGACCUAUUUCAACCUAUUUUCAGAGGGCUCACAAGAUUUAUAAACAUAAAGGAUAUAAUUCUAAAGUGGCACAACUUCUCCAGAAAUGAGACACAGAGAUCACGUGCCCAGCUCCUACUGUGUAGCAGUGACUAUUAAAGGCUGGCUCUCUAGGCUUCACAUCUUCUUUGGGACCGAAGCAGACAAGGGGACACUGCCUAUGUUCUGUAACAGAGGGCUCACAAGAUUUAUAAACAUAAAGGAUAUAAUUCUAAAGUGGCACAACUUCUCCAGAAAUGAGACACAGAGAUCACGUGCCCAGCUCCUACUGUGUAGCAGUGACUAUUAAAGGCUGGCUCUCUAGGCUUCACAUCUUCUUUGGGACCGAAGCAGACAAGGGGACACUGCCUAUGUUCUGUAACAGAGGGCUCACAAGAUUUAUAAACAUAAAGGAUGUAAUUCUAAAGUGGCACAACUUCUCCAGAAAAGAGACACAGAGAACACGUGCCCAGCUCCUACUGUGUAGCAGUGACUAUUAAAGGCUGGCUCUCUAGGCUUCACAUCUUCUUUGGGACCGAAGCAGACAAGGGGACACUGCCUAUGUUCUGUAACAGGUCAGUUAUGCUCAAUAUCAAACUUUGGUUCACAGAAUUAAUGGUGGAAGUUGUAGCUACCUUUAUCCUGGGUAAGAUAAGAAGUUAUGUUCCUGCAUUGUUUGUGACAUGGCCGGACAACCAAUGGAAAUUCCUGGGUUGUUUCAAAAAGAUGUGCCAGUUUAUGGUGAAGAAGACCCUUAUUUAUGUCCUGAGUUCUCUUGCGUCCAUUAUACACAAUCUAAUUGUUGGAGAAGUCUUCAUCAAUAAGCUAUAUUACUUUCUACACAAAAAGAUGGUUUCUGAACCCACAGCUGUGGUUGUCGUUUAGCUACUCUUACACCUACUCACCCUGCAGUCGUUGGGGGGAUACUUGGCACCCGGAGGAGAGCAAAGGACUUUCCUCGCUUAUCUACUGCCACUGGAGGCUUGUGUGCAUGCUCGGCUCUCUCCCCGAGCCUGGCCCAUUCUAUCCUCUCACAAAGAACAUAAUAACAUAAGAACAUUUAAAUAAAUAAAUAAAUAAAUAAUAAAUAAAUAAAUAAAAUCUCAAUUUUUUAGAAGAGGAUAUACGUAAAAAUGUGGCCAGAGGUUUUGUUUGUCUUUUUUUUGUUUUGUUUUUUGUUUGUUGUUUUUUGUUUUUUGUGGCCAGAGGUUUUGAAACCUGUCACAAACUAUUGUCACAAAAAAUACCUACGUUCACCCAGGAUAUGUGUAAGAAAGAGGUUGGGUUUUCGAAGCCUUUCACAAAAUCUUGUCACAAAAGAAAUGUGUAUGUUAGACCAGGAUACAUGUAUAAAAGAGGAUAUGGUUUUUGAAAGCGUGUCACACACAAAAGUUGUCACAAAAAAUAACUAGGUUCAGCCAGGAGACGUGUAAAACACAGGACAAGGUUUUGAAGUCUUUUUCACAAAAUAGUAUUAAAAAAUACCUAUGUUCAGCCAAGAUAUGUGGAAAAAAGAGGACAGGGUUUUUUGAAACUUUUCACAAAAUAUUGUCACAAAAGAUACCUAUAUUUAGCCAGCAUAUGUGUAGAAAAGAAGACGGGGUUUUUGUUUUUUUUUUUUUGAAGCUUUUCACAAAAUAUUGGAACAAAAAGUACCUCUGUAUCACUAUGAUAUGUAUAAAAAGGACAAGGUUAUCUGAAGAUUCUCACAAAAUAUGGCACUAUAAAUCCUGUAUUUGGCGACCUUAUGUCUGUGAUAAAGAACAGGGUUUUUUGAACUUUUUCACAAAAUAUUGAAACUGAAAGUACCUACAUUUUGCCACAAUAUGUAUAAACAAGAGGAGAAGGGGUUUUUUUCAACCCUCUCACAAGAAGCAAUGUUAGGAGGCAUGAGGGGAAAAAAAAAAACAAUGGCUUUCGUUGAGAUAAAAAACAACCGAUUGAGAUGUUUGAGAUAAAAAAACACCCGAUUGAGAUGUUUGAGAUAAAAAACAUCGGAUUAAAAAAAAUCCGAAUGAGGUGUUUCAGAUAAAAAACAUCCAAUUUCAAAAAAAAAAUCCAAUUUCAAACUUUAUGGGGUUAUUUUUAUUGAUGGAGGAUUUUCCUUACAUUUGUGGAGCCUAUAAAAAGGCCACAGGGUCAUUGACUCAAAUCAUAAGCAAAUUAUUAGUAGUCAUAUAAAUUUACCAACAAAUUGAUUUGUACUAUUUUGGGACCUAUUUCAACCUAUUUUCAGAGGGCUCACAAGAUUUAUAAACAUAAAGGAUGUAAUUCUAAAGUGGCACAACUUCUCCAGAAAUGAGACACAGAGAUCACGUGCCCAGCUCCUACUGUGUAGCAGUGACUAUUAAAGGCUGGCUCUCUAGGCUUCACAUCUUCUUUGGGACCGAAGCAGACAAGGGGACACUGCCUAUGUUCUGUAACAGAGGGCUCACAAGAUUUAUAAACAUAAAGGAUGUAAUUCUAAAGUGGCACAACUUCUCCAGAAAUGAGACACAGAGAUCACGUGCCCAGCUCCUACUGUGUAGCAGUGACUAUUAAAGGCUGGCUCUCUAGGCUUCACAUCUUCUUUGGGACCGAAGCAGACAAGGGGACACUGCCUAUGUUCUGUAACAGAGGGCUCACAAGAUUUAUAAACAUAAAGGAUAUAAUUCUAAAGUGGCACAACUUCUCCAGAAAUGAGACACAGAGAUCACGUGCCCAGCUCCUACUGUGUAGCAGUGACUAUUAAAGGCUGGCUCUCUAGGCUUCACAUCUUCUUUGGGACCGAAGCAGACAAGGGGACACUGCCUAUGUUCUGUAACAGAGGGCUCACAAGAUUUAUAAACAUAAAGGAUAUAAUUCUAAAGUGGCACAACUUCUCCAGAAAUGAGACACAGAGAUCACGUGCCCAGCUCCUACUGUAUAGCAGUGACUAUUAAAGGCUGGCUCUCUAGGCUUCACAUCUUCUUUGGGACCGAAGCAGACAAGGGGACACUGCCUAUGUUCUGUAACAGGUCAGUUAUGCUCAAUAUCAAACUUUGGUUCACAGAAUUAAUGGUGGAAGUUGUAGCUACCUUUAUCCUGGGUAAGAUAAGAAGUUAUGUUCCUGCAUUGUUUGUGACAUGGCCGGACAACCAAUGGAAAUUCCUGGGUUGUUUCAAAAAGAUGUGCCAGUUUAUGGUGAAGAAGACCCUUAUUUAUGUCCUGAGUUCUCUUGCGUCCAUUAUACACAAUCUAAUUGUUGGAGAAGUCUUCAUCAAUAAGCUAUAUUACUUUCUACACAAAAAGAUGGUUUCUGAACCCACAGCUGUGGUUGUCGUUUAGCUACUCUUACACCUACUCACCCUGCAGUCGUUGGGGGGAUACUUGGCACCCGGAGGAGAGCAAAGGACUUUCCUCGCUUAUCUACUGCCACUGGAGGCUUGUGUGCAUGCUCGGCUCUCUCCCCGAGCCUGGCCCAUUCUAUCCUCUCACAAAGAACAUAAUAACAUAAGAACAUUUAAAUAAAUAAA